GCCCACAUAGCUCAGCUGGUAGAGCAAUGGUAUCGUAAACCAUAGGUCGUCGGUUCGAAUCCGACUGUGGGCU
rnacentral:tRNA from 1 species